rnacentral:misc_RNA from 1 species
GUAGGUGAACCUGCGGAGGGAUCAUUAACACGUUUAAACAACGUUUAACUAUACCAACCAACCGCGUGAAUUCAAUUGAAUUAUACCCCGACUUGAGAGAGAGAGAACCUGUCUAGUUUACACGGAGUGAUGAGUGUGUUUCAUUUUUUUAUGUGUGUAAAAAGCAUGUAAGAUAUGAAACAUACGGUGUAUCUGGGCUUGUAAUGCUUUGACAUUACGGGACUAUUUCUCUUCCAAGCUAUCAACAACUAAUCAAUGUUCCCUUCAUCGCUGGAACGAACAAACCCCUUUCACCCCUUUAUAACUAACUAGACUGAUAGUAAUUCUCCUUAUAUGAUUAGGCGCAAGCCUGUUGUAUCUGUUGAAUUCCAUUUUAAUCAAAUAUCUAAGCACAACUCUUAGCAACGGAUAUCUUGGUUCUC